AUGAGUUCGUCGUAUGAUUCUUCCGAAGAAGAAUUUGAUAUGGAAGAGGAGGAGGAUCUUGCAAUGAUCCUAGCUAUGCAUAUCAAUAAAAAAUCGAAGCACGGUGGUUCGGUUAUGGGUCGGAAGAAAAUUUGGAGAGAUAGGAUCGAUGCCCAUAACAGAUUGAUGAGGCACUAUUCCAUGGAGAAUCCCACAUACCCGGAGUCGUAUUUUCGUCGCCGGUUUAGGAUGAGCACCGACUUGUUCAGGCGCAUUGCAGAGAAACUAGCGAGCCAUGACCGGUUUUUUCAGCAAAGGAGGAAUGCCGCCGGAGAGCUCGGCAUAGCACCUUUCAGAAGGUGA
rnacentral:rRNA from 1 species